ACUUCAGUGGCCUAAUGGACAAGGCACUGGACUCCUAGGCCAGUUAUUGGGGGCUUAAGUCCCUUCUGAGGUG
rnacentral:tRNA from 1 species